rnacentral:rRNA from 1 species
UAGUGGCGAACGGGUGAGUAACACGUGGGCAAUCUGCCCUUCACUCUGGGACAAGCCCUGGAAACGGGGUCUAAUACCGGAUAACACCUGCCCGGGCAUCCGGGUGGGUUAAAAGCUCCGGCGGUGAAGGAUGAGCCCGCGGCCUAUCAGCUUGUUGGUGAGGUAGUGGCUCACCAAGGCGACGACGGGUAGCCGGCCUGAGAGGGCGACCGGCCACACUGGGACUGAGACACGGCCCAGACUCCUACGGGAGGCAGCAGUGGGGAAUAUUGCACAAUGGGCGAAAGCCUGAUGCAGCGACGCCGCGUGAGGGAUGACGGCCUUCGGGUUGUAAACCUCUUUCAGCAGGGAAGAAGCGAAAGUGACGGUACCUGCAGAAGAAGCGCCGGCUAACUACGUGCCAGCAGCCGCGGUAAUACGUAGGGCGCAAGCGUUGUCCGGAAUUAUUGGGCGUAAAGAGCUCGUAGGCGGCUUGUCACGUCGGGUGUGAAAGCCCGGGGCUUAACCCCGGGUCUGCAUUCGAUACGGGCUAGCUAGAGUGUGGUAGGGGGAGAUCGGAAUUCCU